AGUUGUAACCCUAGCGAGUAGCGCCUCUCCAGCUCCCAUUCCAUUCCGCCUCCAGCCCCCACUAAAUUUUCCAGCCUCGUCAGAUCCUCGUCAAAUUCGUCAGAUCCUCAUCAAAUUCGUCAAAUUCGUCAGAUCCUCGUCUUCGUCGUCUUCGUCUAGGCGUCAUCAUCCUCGUCCAGGCGCCGUCAUCCUCGCUGUCAAAUGGGUCGGAUCUAAACCAUAACCAUCGCCGGCCCAAAAUGAUAGAAGAAGCAGGAGGAACAGAAUCAUCGAGGGAGACUCGCUAGGAGAUGCUCUUUUAGGCACAGAUUGAGGACAUGUGCAGGUGGACAACAGCCUCUGUUGUUCUUGUUAUACCAGAAUCUGAAGGUUCCAAUAUCUAUAUAUUGCAUAUUCUAAGUAGAUACUUGUAUUUUGAUUACUUUCUCUGCAUGAGUCUAUUGAUGUUGUUAACAUCUGAAGUUUCGUAUCCACCCUAUUGGAUAACUCCGUCCUUAUGCUGGUCAAAGUUCAUGUUUUAUGUUAAAUACAGAAAAUCACAUCCUCCUAACUUGGAUGGAGAAGCUUAAGUA